rnacentral:rRNA from 1 species
UACGUAGGGGGCAAGCGUUGUCCGGAUUUAUUGGGCGUAAAGAGCGUGUAGGCGGCCAGGUAGGUCUGCUGUGAAAACUCGAGGCUUAACCUCGAGCUGUCGGCGGAAACCAUCUGGCUAGAGUCCGGAAGAGGAGAAUGGAAUUCCCGGUGUAGCGGUGAAAUGCGCAGAUAUCAGGAAGAACACCGAUGGCGAAGGCAGUGGGCUGGGCCGGUACUGACGCUGAGGAGCGAAAGCGUGGGGAGCGAACAGG